rnacentral:rRNA from 1 species
UACGUAGGGUGCAAGCGUUGUCCGGAAUUAUUGGGCGUAAAGAGCUCGUAGGCGGUCUGUCGCGUCUGCUGUGAAAAACUCAGGGCUUAACCCCUGAGCUUGCAGUGGGUACGGGCAGACUAGAGUGCGGUAGGGGGAGACUGGAAUUCCUGGUGUAGCGGUGGAAUGCGCAGAUAUCAGGAGGAACACCGAUGGCGAAGGCAGGUCACUGGGCCGCAACUGACGCUGAGGAGCGAAAGCAUGGGGAGCGAACAGG